rnacentral:rRNA from 1 species
GAUGGACGCUGGCGGCGUGCCUAAUACAUGCAAGUCGAGCGAACGGACGAGAAGCUUGCUUCUCUGAUGUUAGCGGCGGACGGGUGAGUAACACGUGGAUAACCUACCUAUAAGACUGGGAUAACUUCGGGAAACCGGAGCUAAUACCGGAUGAUAUUUUGAACCGCAUGGUUCAAAAGUGAAAGACGGUCUUGCUGUCACUUAUAGAUGGAUCCGCGCUGCAUUAGCUAGUUGGUAAGGUAACGGCUUACCAAGGCAACGAUGCAUAGCCGACCUGAGAGGGUGAUCGGCCACACUGGAACUGAGACACGGUCCAGACUCCUACGGGAGGCAGCAGUUGGGAAUCUUCCGCAAUGGGCGAAAGCCUGACGGAGCAACGCCGCGUGAGUGAUGAAGGUCUUCGGAUCGUAAAACUCUGUUAUUAGGGAAGAACAUAUGUGUAAGUAACUGUGCACAUCUUGACGGUACCUAAUCAGAAAGCCACGGCUAACUACGUG